AGAUUAAGUUAUUAAGGGCGCACGGUGGAUGCCUUGGCACUAGAAGCCGAUGAAGGACGUUACUAACGACGAUAUGCUUUGGGGAGCUGUAAGUAAGCUUUGAUCCAGAGAUUUCCGAAUGGGGAAACCCAGCAUGAGUUAUGUCAUGUUAUCGAUAUGUGAAUACAUAGCAUAUCAGAAGGCACACCCGGAGAACUGAAACAUCUUAGUACCCGGAGGAAGAGAAAGAAAAUUCGAUUCCCUUAGUAGCGGCGAGCGAAACGGGAAGAGCCCAAACCAACAAGCUUGCUUGUUGGGGUUGUAGGACACUCUAUACGGAGUUACAAAGGACGACAUUAGACGAAUCAUCUGGAAAGAUGAAUCAAAGAAGGUAAUAAUCCUGUAGUCGAAAAUGUUGUCUCUCUUGAGUGGAUCCUGAGUACGACGGAGCACGUGAAAUUCCGUCGGAAUCUGGGAGGACCAUCUCCUAAGGCUAAAUACUCUCUAGUGACCGAUAGUGAACCAGUACCGUGAGGGAAAGGUGAAAAGCACCCCGGAAGGAGAGUGAAAUAGAACCUGAAACCGUGUGCUUACAAGUAGUCAGAGCCCGUUAAUGGGUGAUGGCGUGCCUUUUGUAGAAUGAACCGGCGAGUUACGAUUUGAUGCAAGGUUAAGCAGUAAAUGUGGAGCCGUAGCGAAAGCGAGUCUGAAUAGGGCGUUUAGUAUUUGGUCGUAGACCCGAAACCAGGUGAUCUACCCUUGGUCAGGUUGAAGUUCAGGUAACACUGAAUGGAGGACCGAACCGACUUACGUUGAAAAGUGAGCGGAUGAACUGAGGGUAGCGGAGAAAUUCCAAUCGAACCUGGAGAUAGCUGGUUCUCUCCGAAAUAGCUUUAGGGCUAGCCUCAAGUGAUGAUUAUUGGAGGUAGAGCACUGUUUGGACGAGGGGCCCCUCUCGGGUUACCGUAUUCAGACAAACUCCGAAUGCCAAUUAAUUUAACUUGGGAGUCAGAACAUGGGUGAUAAGGUCCGUGUUCGAAAGGGAAACAGCCCAGACCACCAGCUAAGGUCCCAAAAUAUAUGUUAAGUGGAAAAGGAUGUGGCGUUGCCCAGACAACUAGGAUGUUGGCUUAGAAGCAGCCAUCAUUUAAAGAGUGCGUAAUAGCUCACUAGUCGAGUGACACUGCGCCGAAAAUGUACCGGGGCUAAACAUAUUACCGAAGCUGUGGAUUGUCCUUUGGACAAUGGUAGGAGAGCGUUCUAAGGGCGUUGAAGCAUGAUCGUAAGGACAUGUGGAGCGCUUAGAAG
rnacentral:rRNA from 1 species